rnacentral:rRNA from 1 species
GUGGAAUUCCACGUGUAGCGGUGAAAUGCGUAGAGAUGUGGAGGAACACCAGUGGCGAAGGCGACUCUCUGGUCUGUAACUGACGCUGAGGCGCGAAAGCGUGGGGAGCGAACAGGAUUAGAUACCCUGGUAGUCCACGCCGUAAACGAUGAGUGCUAAGUGUUAGAGGGUUUCCGCCCUUUAGUGCUGCAGCAAACGCAUUAAGCACUCCGCCUGGGGAGUACGGUCGCAAGACUGAAACUCAAAGGAAUUGACGGGGGCCCGCACAAGCGGUGGAGCAUGUGGUUUAAUUCGAAGCAACGCGAAGAACCUUACCAGGUCUUGACAUCCUCUGACAACCCUAGAGAUAGGGCUUCCCCUUCGGGGGCAGAGUGACAGGUGGUGCAUGGUUGUCGUCAGCUCGUGUCGUG